UACGUAGGCAGCGAGCGUUGUUCGGAGUUACUGGGCGUAAAGGGUGUGUAGGCGGUUGUUUAAGUUUGGUGUGAAAUCUCCCGGCUCAACUGGGAGGGUGCGCCGAAUACUGAAUGACUUCGAGUGCGGGAGAGGAGAGUGGAAUUCCUGGUGUAGCGGUGAAAUGCGUAGAUAUCUGGAGGAACACCGGUGGCGAAGGCGGCGUUCUGGACUGUCUCUGACACUGAAGAACGAAAGCCAGGGGAGCAAACGGG
rnacentral:rRNA from 1 species